UCCAACCAGAACUAUUUAACCCAACUCCAACACAAUGGAUUACCCGAUUACUUUUUGAGUUUUGACUUUAAUGCCUAAAUUAUAUUUAUUUUUUUAAAGAUACAAACUCAAAAAAAAAACCCAGAGGUUUCGUUUGUUGAGAGCCUCGACUACUUCGUCAAGCGAAACCCAAACUCUCAAAAUGAUUUCGUCGUCGCUCCGUUUCGUCGAUCCCAUCACCGAUGUUCCUCCGUCAAUCCCAUCGCCGAUGCUGCUCCGUCGAUCACGUCACUUUGCCUCCCUUUUUGUGGUAUUGGUCGCAUGUUGAGAACUGCAGCAGCUGCAAGGAAGCUCACAAAUAUCUCAAUGCGCUAGAGGUGAUCUUACAAAUCGCAUCAGUUGCUAUGAUCGGAGCUAUGGCCGUGAUGAACCAGACCACAUUGUCAAAGGUAGCAAGAAUUGCAGUGCUUUGUGGCGGCUGUUUUGAGUUUUGCUGCUUCGAAGUGACUAUCACACUUCAUCUACAAGACAUUCCAUUACCAUGACUACAACCAUGCUCUUGUUUGAAAUGUAUAUUGUUGCACGUAUACACUCUAUAAAUAUAUUCACUCCACAUGGUGUACAUAAUACUUAUAUAGAAGAAACUAAUUUGUGAACUCUACACGUUUGUUUCAUUCAUAAAUCCAAAAGCCAGAGACACAUGACUAUUUAUUUA